UUUCUUAUUGCUUGCAAUUAGUGUUUAGAGUGUCUCUCAAGUUGGACUUCUUUGAACUAUUCAGGAAGCAUCUCUAUCCCACUGAUCUCAAACUGAUGGACAAAUUAAAUAUGAAGAUCAAAAUAACACAAUGAAUGCAAUCACGUAGAAAAACCUCCUUCAAAUGAUAAUAAUAGAAGGACUCAACAACAUAAUAAGUAAAGGAAAUAUAAACAGAUGAAUUUUCUCAAUUAACAAAACCAAACUUUUUAUAUCUAGUGUUUUUGGUGAAUCUUGCUCUAAUGAAGUUGUACCUUUCCUGUUUCCCUCUCGCUACCACCACGCUGAAAGCAAUAAGAACUUUUAAGAAGAAACUAAAAAAAGGGGAAAUAUUUUAGUAUCUUGAAAAAAGAAAUUUUCAAUUGAAAAUACAUUACCAGCGUUGGGUGGUUAAAGACCAGAAGCAGAGAGAACAUUAUUUUUGGGUUAACACAUCCAUGGACUCUUGUAAUCACUAAUAGCUGGUGAAGCUAAUCCAGUAUUCAUCUACCAAAUAUAAGAAAUCAUAAUUCCCAAUCAGUAGAUCUGAAGGUCAGUGUCAUGGUACUAUCUGAAGAAUCGUCUUUAAAGAGCUGCAUAAAAGAUAUAAGUCUCUGCUUCGCACAAGUUUGCCCAUUAAAAACUACUAUAAAGUAGACAUAUAACUGGAACACUUCUUUGCAGAGAACUAUCAUACAUUUCCAUUACUUGAACACAUUAAUGGUGGCCAUAUUGUCCCAUUUCCUUCCUUAUAUCAUAUUGCCGGACACAUAAAUAUCAUGUCAAAGAUAACCAAAUAACAACGAAGCUAAUUUUCAGUUAAGUGUCGAAUGAGUAUAGAAUAUCAACUCUGUAUAUAAUAAAAUGUAAGAGACGAAUGUAGUGGACGAAGUAUAACAAUUAGCAUGGCCAAAAAAAAAACCACGGUGCAGCUAUUUGGAGAAAUCAUAACCUGUUCCGAGAGUAGCAAGCUUAAGCCAACAUUAACUGUUGGUAUGCACGGACUGAGAUGGGAAAAUGUUCAGAGUUUGUGGUCUCAUUCUAUAUUUCUUUGCAACUUCUCAAGAAUGGAAGCUUCUAUAUUUCUGACAGGUUAUGUAUUUUAGCUCUUUGGAAAAAGCCGCAGCAAAAAGAUGGGAAAAACAAAUAUAUGUCCACACUACUACAUCUAUCAACUUAAAUAAACAAAGAAAACAACCUCAUGUCAAUUACUAUACACUAUGUAACAAUCUAAUACUCGGCAACACAAUUAUACACUAUGACUAUAACAAUUAUGCCAAUCAAUCUAUGGUAACUCUAGCAUUCUAUAGGACCUUAUACUGUUUCCUGUGUGCUCGUCAAGUUUAGCACUUGCGAAAUUCAACUUGAGCUCUAAAGGAUUACCUGUUAGUUUUGUAUGAUACCGUCAAUUUAAUCUGUAAUCUCAUUGUUCUAAUCUCAACUUUGAGAUUUAUGAUAGCAUACAUGUGUUGAUACAUCAUAUUUGUUAUUAUAACCCGGCAAAUUCAAUUCGAAGGAAGAAUUUCGACUCUCCUAGAUCUUUUAUCUUGAAAUUUCGGUGUAGUACCUCUUAGAUUCUUCAACCAUCUUGUCAUCGUCCGUGUGAUCAGCAAGUUAUUGACAUAUAAAAGGAUCACAAGUUCACAACCAUGUUACUGCCAUGUCUUCUGGUGAACAAAAAGCAAUAUAAGAAAUAAAUCUCUCAAAAAAUACAAAAGUGGCAUUACUAUAUCAUUUUCAUAACUUUGAUGACCAUAUUAAAUAAAUCCAAAGAAUAUAACUUUUUUUUUUCAUUAACAAAGGAUAAAUUAAACUUUGGCAUAUUAAAUUUGAGCAAAAAAAGAUAUCCAUUUUAAAUUCACAUUCUUUUAUAGUGAGUUAACUUUACCAACUACAAUACAUCUUAAACAGUAUAGUGAAAGUACCAAUCACUGCUUAUAAAAAUAAAGAAUGUUAUGUCACCAUAGAAUAAUAACAGACAAGGAAAUUCACCCAUGAAAUAGAAAAUUGUUAAGAGAUCUCAAAGAAGAAGAAGAAGAAGACAAAGAAAAAAAGAAAAAGAUUGGAGCAAAAACCGUGAGAGAAUCAUACCCGAAAUGGUUUCUUCAAAUUCUGAAGAAGGAGAACUCAAAGAGUUCACCUAAGUUUUUGAUGGAACAUAGGAGAGAUGUUUC
rnacentral:lncRNA from 1 species